rnacentral:tRNA from 1 species
UCUAAUGUGGCAGAAUUUAAUGUAAUGAAUUUAAGAUUCAUAUAUAGAUACUUUUAUUUCUUUAGAA